rfam:Metallosphaera sedula DSM 5348, complete genome.
GGGGCCGUCGUCUAGUUUGGUCCAGGACGCCAGGCUUGGGCCCUGGUAAUCGGGGGUUCAAAUCCCCUCGGCCCCA